rnacentral:lncRNA from 1 species
GGUCUGCUGCUCGUAUGUCAGCUGGAUCUUCAAUUACUGUAGCUCAGCCAUCCUUUCCCCAAGGGAGACAGAAAGUCCUUCGAUGGUUCCUCUCAGGGACUGGAGUUCAUUAGAAUCCCGGGCAGAAGUCAGCUGAGCCCUGUCAGCCAGCUGCCUCUGAAGAUGGGCGACUUCGUCGGUCGCCACCCUGAGUCUCCCUUUAUAUUCCUCUACCUGCCUGCGCCAACCGGCCCGGUGCACAUCAUAGCUCACCUCGACGUCCUGAAGCUACUGCUGAAGGUCGGAGACCUUCUUCGACCAAUCCCGAUCGCCGUCGGCCCGAGCCAAGAGCCGGGAUGAACUUCCUUCCAGCUGGCCG